rnacentral:rRNA from 1 species
GAGUUUGAUUAUGGCUCAGGAUGAACGCUAGCGGCAGGCCUAAUACAUGCAAGUCGAGGGGUAGAGCGGUGCUUGCACUGCUUGAGACCGGCGCACGGGUGCGUAACGCGUAUGCAACCUACCCUUUUCUGGGGGAUAGCCCGAAGAAAUUCGGAUUAAUACCGCAUAAGACCACGAUACGGCAUCGUAAUGGGGUCAAACAUUUAUGGGAGAAGGAUGGGCAUGCGUGCCAUUAGCUGGUUGGCGGGGUAACGGCCCACCAAGGCGACGAUGGCUAGGGGAUCUGAGAGGAUGGCCCCCCACACUGGUACUGAGACACGGACCAGACUCCUACGGGAGGCAGCAGUAAGGAAUAUUGGUCAAUGGAGGCAACUCUGAACCAGCCAUGCCGCGUGCAGGAAGACGGCCCUCUGGGUUGUAAACUGCUUUUAUUCGGGAAUAAACCUACUUACGUGUAAGUAGCUGAAUGUACCGAAGGAAUAAGGAUCGGCUAACUCCGUGCCAGCAGCCGCGGUAAUACGGAGGAUCCAAGCGUUAUCCGGAUUUAUUGGGUUUAAAGGGUGCGUAGGCGGCCUGUUAAGUCAGGGGUGAAAGACGGUAGCUCAACUAUCGCAGUGCCCUUGAUACUGAUGGGCUUGAAUGGACUAGAGGUAGGCGGAAUGAGACAAGUAGCGGUGAAAUGCAUAGAUAUGUCUCAGAACACCGAUUGCGAAAGGCAGCUUACUAUGGUCUGAUUGACGCUGAGGCACGAAAGCGUGGGGAUCGAACAGGAUUAGAUACCCUGGUAGUCCACGCCCUAAACGAUGAACACUCGCUGUUGGCGAUACACAGUCAGCGGCUAAGCGAAAGCGUUAAGUGUUCCACCUGGGGGAGUACGCCCGCAAGGGUGAAACUCAAAGGAAUUUGACGGGGGCCCGCACAAGCGGGAGAAGCAUGUGGUUUUAUUUCGAUGAUACGCGAGGAACCUUUACCCGGCUUGAAAGUUUAGGUGAGUAUCCAGAGAUGGAU